CAGUAGCCGCGGGAAUACGAAGGGGGCUAGCGUCGCUCGGAAUCACUGGGCGUAAAGGGUGCGUAGGCGGGGCUUUAAGUCAGGGGUGAAAUCCUGGAGCUCAACUCCAGAACUGCCUUUGAUACUGAAGAUCUUGAGUUCGGGAGAGGUGAGUGGAACUGCGAGUGUAGAGGUGAAAUUCGUAGAUAUUCGCAAGAACACCAGUGGCGAAGGCGGCUCACUGGCCCGAUACUGACGCUGAGGCACGAAAGCGUGGGGAGCAAACAGGAUUAGAUACCCCCGUAGUCCCUGUCUCUUAUAC
rnacentral:rRNA from 1 species